rnacentral:rRNA from 1 species
GACGAACGCUGGCGGCGUGCUUAACACAUGCAAGUCGAACGGAAAGGCCCUGCUUUUGUGGGGUGCUCGAGUGGCGAACGGGUGAGUAACACGUGAGUAACCUGCCCUUGCCUUUGGGAUAACUUCAGGAAACUGGGGCUAAUACCGGAUAGGAGCUCCUGCUGCAUGGUGGGGGUUGGAAAGUUUCGGCGGUUGGGGAUGGACUCGCGGCUUAUCAGCUUGUUGGUGGGGUAGUGGCUUACCAAGGCUUUGACGGGUAGCCGGCCUGAGAGGGUGACCGGCCACAUUGGGACUGAGAUACGGCCCAGACUCCUACGGGAGGCAGCAGUGGGGAAUAUUGCACAAUGGGCGGAGGCCUGAUGCAGCAACGCCGCGUGCGGGAUGACGGCCUUCGGGUUGUAAACCGCUUUCGCCUGUGACGAAGCGUGAGUGACGGUAAUGGGUAAAGAAGCACCGGCUAACUACGUG